rnacentral:misc_RNA from 1 species
GAUGAAGAACGUAGUGAAAUGCGAUAAGUAAUGCGAAUUGCAGAAUUCAGUGAGUCAUCGAAUCUUUGAACGCACAUUGCGCCCUGUGGUAUUCCGCAGGGCAUGCCUGUUCGAGCGUCAUUUCAACCCUCAAGCUCUGCUUGGUGUUGGGCCCUGCCCGCUGCGGCCGGCCCUAAAGACAGUGGCGGUGCCGCCUGGCCCUGAGCGUAGUACAUCUCUCGCUCCAGUGCCCGGUGGUAGCCUGCCAGAACCCCAACUCUCGUGGUUGACCUCGGAUCAGGUAGGGAUACCCGCUGAACUUAAGCAUAUCAAUAAGCGGAGA